rnacentral:rRNA from 1 species
UACGAAGGGGGCUAGCGUUGUUCGGAAUUACUGGGCGUAAAGCGCGCGCAGGCGGUCUUCCAAGUCAGUGGUGAAAGCCCGGAGCUCAACUCCGGAACUGCCAUUGAAACUGUAAGACUUGAGGAUGAGAGAGGUGAGUGGAAUUCCCAGUGUAGAGGUGAAAUUCGUAGAUAUUGGGAAGAACACCGGUGGCGAAGGCAGCCAUCUGGACCGACACUGACGCUGAGGCGCGAAAGCGUGGGGAGCAAACAGG